rnacentral:rRNA from 1 species
GACGAACGCUGGCGGCGUGCUUAACACAUGCAAGUCGAACGGUGAAGCGCCUUCCUUUUUGGUGGGUGUGGAUGAGUGGCGAACGGGUGAGUAACACGUGAGUAACCUGCCCCCUCCUUCUGGAUAACCGCAUGAAAGUGUGGCUAAUACGGGAUAUUCUGGGUCUGUCGCAUGAUGGGUCUGGGAAAGAUUUUGUUUCGGUUGGGGAUGGGCUCGCGGCCUAUCAGCUUGUUGGUGGGGUGAUGGCGUACCAAGGCGGCGACGCGUAGCCGGCCUGAGAGGAGGGUGGGCGACACUGGUGCGGAGACGCGGCGGAGACGACUACGAGAGGCAGCAGUAGGGGAGAAUAGUGAAUGGGCGGCAGACGGAUGAUGCAACGCCGCGGCGGGAGGGAAGGACGCCGUCGGGUAAAGCACCUCUUUCGGGAAAGAAGCAGGGCUGCCUCGUUUGUGGGUGGGUUGACGGUACCUGGAGAAGAAGCGCCGGCUAACUACGUG